rnacentral:lncRNA from 1 species
UCAUAGCAUCGAGAUCAUCAAUGUGCUAGUACCUUGCAGAUCUCGCACCUUAUCCUUGGAUCUUGAUCUCUUCUUUCAAAUCUUGAAGAAGUUGAUCGCUACACGAACUCUUUCGCACAGAUCCGAUGGGAUUUGAACCAAAUCACCAUGAAGAGAAGAAGAUCCUUUUUCUUCUCUUCUUCUCUCUUUUUUUCUUCUCUUAGAUCUGAUCUCUAUCAGAUCUGGAC